UACGUAUGGUGCAAGCGUUAUCCGGAUUUACUGGGUGUAAAGGGAGCGCAGGCGGCACGGCAAGCCUGAUGUGAAAGCCCGCGGCCCAACCGCGGGACUGCAUUGGGAACUACCGGGCUGGAGUGCCGGAGAGGUAGGCGGAAUUCCUAGUGUAGCGGUGAAAUGCGUAGAUAUUAGGAGGAACACCAGUGGCGAAGGCGGCCUGCUGGACGAUAACUGACGUUGAGGCUCGAAAGCGUGGGGAGCAAACAGG
rnacentral:rRNA from 1 species